rnacentral:rRNA from 1 species
CACGUCCAAGCAGUUAGGCUGAUAAGUAGGCAAAUCCGCUUAUCGUGAAGGCUGAGCUGUGAUGGGGAAGCUCCUUAUGGAGCGAAGUCUUUGAUUCCCCGCUGCCAAGAAAAGCUUCUAGCGAGAUAAAAGGUGCCUGUACCGCAAACCGACACAGGUAGGCGAGGAGAGAAUCCUAAGGUGUGCGAGAGAACUCUGGUUAAGGAACUCGGCAAAAUGACCCCGUAACUUCGGGAGAAGGGGUGCUUUCUUAACGGAAAGCCGCAGUGAAUAGGCCCAAGCGACUGUUUAGCAAAAACACAGCUCUCUGCGAAGCCGUAAGGCGAAGUAUAGGGGGUGACACCUGCCCGGUGCUGGAAGGUUAAGGAGAGGGGUUAGCGUAAGCGAAGCUCUGAACUGAAGCCCCAGUAAACGGCGGCCGUAACUAUAACGGUCCUAAGGUAGCGAAAUUCCUUGUCGGGUAAGUUCCGACCCGCACGAAAGGUGUAACGAUUUGGGCACUGUCUCAACCAGAGACUCGGUGAAAUUAUAGUACCUGUGAAGAUGCAGGUUACCCGCGACAGGACGGAAAGACCCCGUGGAGCUUUACUGUAGCCUGAUAUUGAAUUUUGGUACAGUUUGUACAGGAUAGGCGGGAGCCAUUGAAACCGGAGCGCUAGCUUCGGUGGAGGCGCUGGUGGGAUACCGCCCUGACUGUAUUGAAAUUCUAACCUACGGGUCUUAUCGACCCGGGAG